rnacentral:lncRNA from 1 species
UCUCAAUGUGUGUGGCACGCUAGGCUUACAGCCUCAUCAAGCAUUGUGUUCUGUAAUGCCUAGAAGGUAUAUACUUGCAACAAAAUAACCAAACACAUUGGGGCACUAACGGCUCCAUCUGUCUUUCCUCAAUUGAAUGUAUAAGAAUUAAAUGUAUAGGGAUGACAUGUCCAGACAACAUUUCCUCUUGUGACAGGCUGUAACCUCCUCAAGGUGAAAGCUGUAUUUGGUAGCCAAAUGCGGAUGGAAAGCUGAAGGCCCAUGUUGACCAGUCCAGAUGGCAUAGGGAGAUACCCGCCAUGCAAAUGGAAUAGAUCACUUUUUCAAUGUAGCUACUCUUUGUCAUAUGCCGCCUCCGUCGUGCUGCUUUCAAGCAUUUUCCCAUUUCCUUUAGGCAGACGCAGCCUGUUCACUGUGAGCAUUCAGCCUACCCCGAUGGUCUCCUGGUAGACAUGGAUUACAAACUGCAUCCCAAUUUUUGAUCACUAGUUUCACAGGUCAAACCCAGGUUUAAGAGCAGAUUUCUUGAGGAAAGAAACUGCACAUGGAGCUCACAGAAAACAAGAACAAAAUGGAAUUCAAACAAACGAUGUGGGCCAGAGCGGUAAUACUUUACUGCGGCGUGGUAUUCCUCUACCACCAGGCCUUAGCAGUGGAUACCUACAUGGCUGAGUUCAUGGUAGAGAGCAAUGUUACAUUGGACAUCUCUGGUACUCUAUCAUCGAUCAAGGAAAUAACUACAGAUAACGGGAGUAUGACUAUUGAACUGCUUGAACUAACAGCGGAAUGUGAAACUGUUGGGGAUAAUUCUACAUGUAACUGUUCGACAAAGUACAUCUGGAGCAACGCCGUGUGUGACGAGUUCCAGUGUUGCAAUGACUCAUAUUGUAAUGCAAAUAUUUCUUACUUGCCGGCCUUCUGUAUUCCCAAAGUGAAAGGUAUUAUUGUUGACACUGUUAUUUUUACUACCAUUAUUUGAUAUGAUCAAUAGGAUAGAUAAUACUAUUAAC